GGGGAGUCACGCAUUGCAUCACACUUUCACCAGAUCCAGCCCCCACCCAGCAACUGAAGGAAAUCUCUACAGUGGGCAGCCCAGCAGCAGACUGAUAUCAUCUCAUCUCACAGGAAGGAGGCUCGCCACAACAUAGAUAAAUAAGGAAUUCUUCCAGGGAGAGGGUAAAGAAUCAGACAAGUAGUGAGCCUUGUGUGGGGAACCAAUCAUUUGAAGAUCAGAGGAAGAGAGAGGUGCCAUUUGCAGACUGAAGAAGUAGCCUGAGAGGUCACUGAAGGGUAGAAUGAAUUAAUCUUUGGUUCAGAGUAGAUGCAGAGAAAAGAAUCUGAGUUUUCGAGGAGCAAGGCUAACGUGUGAGUGCUGUUUGUUAUGAGCCAAGAAUUCGCAAGAAGACAACUAAAU